ACCGCGAGCCUGACGCUUGUGCAAAAUGCUUGGGAAUGCAGCGUUGCGUCUCCACCUUGUGCUACUUUUGUCGGCAUGGGUUAACUUUCACGUCAUCCUGUACGCUGUCGCCUGCAUGCAGCAUCAGCAGUGACGUCGUCGGUUACGGUCGGCCCACAUGAAAGCACUUUUGCGCGCAAGAGGGUUGGCGACGUGCUCUGCCGUCAACGAUUUGGUUGUCAUGCAAGGGUCUUUGCUGGGGAAAAAACGGAAGCAGAGAAGUGUCUGGAUGAAGACUCGUUCUAAUGACUGAUUUCGCAGCGUUACCUGCAAUGUCCCAGGAAGUGCACAUGAUGCGUCUGUGUUGAGGUUGUCGUCACUGUUCCAAAGGAG